CCUACGGGGGGCUGCAGUGGGGAAUAUUGCACAAUGGGCGCAAGCCUGAUGCAGCGACGCCGCGUGAGGGAUGACGGCCUUCGGGUUGUAAACCUCUUUCAGCAGGGACGAAGCGUGAGUGACGGUACCUGCAGAAGAAGCACCGGCCAACUACGUGCCAGCAGCCGCGGUAAUACGUAGGGUGCAAGCGUUGUCCGGAAUUACUGGGCGUAAAGAGCUCGUAGGCGGUUUGUCGCGUCGUCUGUGAAAACCAGCAGCUCAACUGUUGGCUUGCA
rnacentral:rRNA from 1 species